CCUACGGGGGGCAGCAGUGGGGAAUAUUGCACAAUGGGCGCAAGCCUGAUGCAGCCAUGCCGCGUGUGUGAAGAAGGCCUUCGGGUUGUAAAGCACUUUCAGCGGGGAGGAAGGCGUUAAGGUUAAUACCCUUGGCGAUUGACGUUACCCGCAGAAGAAGCACCGGCUAACUCCGUGCCAGCAGCCGCGGUAAUACGGAGGGUGCAAGCGUUAAUCGGAAUUACUGGGCGUAAAGCGCCCGCAGGCGGUCUGUCAAGUCGGAUGUGAAAUCCCCGGGCUCAACCUGGGAACUGCAUUCGAACUGGCAGGCUAGAGUCUGGUAGAGGGGGGUAGAAUUCCAGGUGUAGCGGUGAAAUGCGUAGAGAUCUGGAGGAAUACCGGUGGCGAAGGCGGCCCCCUGGACAAAGACUGACGCUCAGGUGCGAAAGCGUGGGGAGCAAACAGGAUUAGAUACCCCAGUAGUC
rnacentral:rRNA from 1 species